GGUCGACUGGUGUAGUGGUUAUCACGUUAGUCUUACAGUCUUGUAUUGUAAAGUGCACUAAAGGCCGCAGGUUCGAUCCCUGCGUCGAUCA